UGCACCAAACAACAAUCAAUCAAUAUUAUCGAUCAGCUCUACUUUCAGGUUUAUUCUUGAUCAUCUACAUCUGCAGAGACAGUUAGUAGUAUCGUUGUGCAAGAAGAAUCAUGUCAGAAUUAGCAGAUCAACAUUUGCAGUGGCAGUUUCUUGAUCAACAUUUCCAGUCAGGUUAAGCCAUUUUGCAAGAAGAAUCAGGUUAAGCUUUUAACAUUUGCAGCGGCAGUUUCUUGAUCAACAUUCCAAGUCAGGUUAAGCCAUUUUGCAAGAAGUAAAGCAAUAUUAGUAGCUUCCUAAGCUUUAGUUUCAGUUUCUUUAUCAGUGGUAGAAUGCUGACCAUGAUGCCGGGGACGGCAGGGGGGAUCCUUCUGUGGAGGAGCUUGAGGGUGUAGUCAGAUACUUGCUCAGGGGUGGCCCUGUCCUUGCACUCGGCACCGGGUGUCACCAUGCUUGGCUUGAGGAGGAUGCCCUCGAACAUCACAUUGUUCUCGGCCAUGUAGAAGAAGGUCUCCGCCCACACCUUCUGCGCCACCUCGAAGGUCCUGUCGAUGCCAUGCUCACCGUCGAGGAGGAUCUCAGGCUCGACAAUCGGCACCAGCCCGUUGUCCU
rnacentral:lncRNA from 1 species